UACGUAGGGUCCGAGCGUUGUCCGGAAUUAUUGGGCGUAAAGAGCUCGUAGGCGGUUUGUCGCGUCUGCUGUGAAAUCCCGAGGCUCAACCUCGGGUCUGCAGUCGAUACGAGCAAACUAGAGUGUUGCAGGGGAGACUGGAAUUCCUGGUGUAGCGGUGAAAUGCGCAGAUAUCAGGAGGAACACCGGUGGCGAAGGCGGGUCUCUGGGCAACAACUGACGCUGAGGAGCGAAAGCGUGGGGAGCGAACAGG
rnacentral:rRNA from 1 species